UUCCGGAGCUAACGCGUUAAAUCGACCGCCUGGGGAGUACGGCCGCAAGGUUAAAACUCAAAUGAAUUGACGGGGGCCCGCACAAGCGGUGGAGCAUGUGGUUUAAUUCGAUGCAACGCGAAGAACCUUACCUGGUCUUGACAUCCACAGAACUUUCCAGAGAUGGAUUGGUGCCUUCGGGAACUGUGAGACAGGUGCUGCAUGGCUGUCGUCAGCUCGUGUUGUGAAAUGUUGGGUUAAGUCCCGCAACGAGCGCAACCC
rnacentral:rRNA from 1 species